rnacentral:rRNA from 1 species
GAUGAACGCUGGCGGCGUGCCUAAUACAUGCAAGUCGAGCGAACAGACGAGGAGCUUGCUCCUCUGACGUUAGCGGCGGACGGGUGAGUAACACGUGGAUAACCUACCUAUAAGACUGGGAUAACUUCGGGAAACCGGAGCUAAUACCGGAUAAUAUAUUGAACCGCAUGGUUCAAUAGUGAAAGACGGUUUUGCUGUCACUUAUAGAUGGAUCCGCGCCGCAUUAGCUAGUUGGUAAGGUAACGGCUUACCAAGGCGACGAUGCGUAGCCGACCCGAGAGGGGGAUCGGCCACACUGGAACUGAGACGCGGUCCAGCCGCCUACGGGAGGCAGCAGUAGGGAAUCUUCCGCAAUGGGCGAAAGCCUGACGGAGCAACGCCGCGUGAGUGAUGAAGGGCUUCGGAUCGUAAAACGCUGUUAUUAGGGAAGAACAAAUGUGUAAGUAACGAUGCACGUCUUGACGGUACCUAAUCAGAAAGCCACGGCUAACUACGU